rnacentral:rRNA from 1 species
UACGGGGGGGGCAAGCGUUGUUCGGAAUUACUGGGCGUAAAGGGUUCGUAGGCGGUGCGGCAAGUCGGGAGUGAAAUCUCUGGGCUUAACCCAGAGGCUGCUUCCGAAACUGCUGUGCUUGAGUGUGGGAGAGGCGCGUGGAAUUGCAGGUGUAGCGGUGAAAUGCGUAGAUAUCUGCAGGAACACCCGUGGCGAAAGCGGCGCGCUGGACCACUACUGACGCUGAGGAACGAAAGCUAGGGGAGCAAACAGG